ACCUAUAAGACAAAUGCAUAAUUUUCUGGCUGUAGCAUGAACGAAAUCAGCUAAGCAAUAUAAAAUUGUUUCAUCUGCAUAAUGGUAAAGUUUGCAAUCUGAGAAGCAGAGCCAGCAAUAUAAUUUAUGUAUAUAUUAAAUAAAACUGGACCAAAAUUUAACCUUGUGAUACAUCUGUGAGAUACAGAUGCCAAAUCUGAAUAAUUAUUCAUUGACAUGCACUCUUUUGGGUCUAUUCCAGAGCAGUGGCAUCAAAGCAAAUAAUUUAAGCUAAAUUCAGUGGGAGAAAAAGGGUGAUACUGAUGGUAAUAAGGAAAAUCUGUAUACAAUAAUAACAAAUAAUAAACUAUGGAUACUCGGUGCCUUGCACAGGCUUUCACUGUGAACACCAGAGUGUGAGUUUAUGACAGUAUGACAUACCUGGGUUUGCGCUCCCUAACUGUGCCCUGCAGGAACACUACGGCACUGAAUGUUGAUAAAACAGUGCUGCUACGCUGUGUGUGGUUCAGUGGGCUAGGCUGGUUAGCCAAAGACGGGUAAGAUCCCAACAUAUUACACAGGGACAACCUAAGACAGGCACAGUCUCGAUCUGACCACCACAUGCAUUUUAACAGAAAACGGAGAAAACAUCGUGGAAGGGAAGCGCAGCCCAGGGGGAGAGUGAGUGGAUGAAUGAAGUGAUGGGGUGUGUGUCAGUGGAGGCCUGGGCAGGGUAGACAGUAAUGGACAGUAAGAGGGUGAAGCAAUUUUGGGUUAAGUUCUCUGAAACAGAAAUUCUGUUUCAGAAAAAGGGGGAGAUUUAAAUAGAUGAUCAUUAUUGCCACCAUUAUUUGCCCAAUAAUUAUUUUAUACUUUUUAUAAUAAUUAUUUUAUACUUUUUAUUUAUUAUUUUUUUUUAAACCUAUUACCUUUUUCAUCCCUCACCACUAUUACUAAAAUUUUUUGACCAAUCAUUAUUUUAUAGAUAUAGAGCAUUUUUUAAACUUUUAGCUUGUUUAUCUUUUUAAAGUUUGGUUUUAAAACAACCUCUAUGCAGAUGAGCAAUUACUUUCAGCAAUAUUGUAACAGUCUUAACUCUAAGACACACUCAAUCCUAAUUUAAAAAGAAGAAAUAAGAAACUUAGAAAUCAUAAAAUUGAACUUUCACUAUUCAACAUGUAAGCCACUUUUUGAGCAAGGGAAACAGUAAGUGAGAUUUGAUAAAUUGUUUAAAGGAAAUAGAUGUAUAGUUGAUAAUUGUGAAAAGCAGUCUGCUGUGCAUUGCAUAUGCAUAAAUACAUAUUGAACAUAUUGAUCAGUAAAUGUAAAGCAUUGUUCGGAUUUAUUUGCUAUAAUAACGUGGACAAAGAAAAGCAUAACAUCUGUGUUUAUUAAUAUUGAUAAUAUUAUUGUUUGUAAUGGAACGAUUGAUACAGAGAAAAAUAAUCACGUUCCACUUAUCCCAAUUCUUAAAGCACUAAAUAAAAUCAACUAAAUCUAGAAAUCAAGGCUUUAUAAAAUCUUGGGAACUGAAUAAAGUCAGAAUCAUAAUUUCUUAAUAAAUAGCACACCGCAGAAAAAUUAAAGUGGCAGGUAAAAUAAUAUAGCCACAAGCGGUGAUUCUAAAGUCCAAGCAAAAGUAACCCAAGAAAGCCCAAUACAUCAAUAUGGAACCAUUCCUGAGACAGAAGCCACAUUAUGUGUAGUUUGU